ANNUGCAGUCGAACGGCAGCACGGGGGCAACCCUGGCGGCGAGUGGCGAACGGGUGAGUAACAUAUCGGAACGUGCCCUGGAGUGGGGGAUAACUAGUCGAAAGAUUAGCUAAUACCGCAUACGAUCUACGGAUGAAAGUGGGGGAUCGCAAGACCUCAUGCUCGUGGAGCGGCCGAUAUCUGAUUAGCUAGUUGGUGGGGUAAAGGCCUACCAAGGCAUCGAUCAGUAGCUGGUCUGAGAGGACGACCAGCCACACUGGGACUGAGACACGGCCCAGACUCCUACGGGAGGCAGCAGUGGGGAAUUUUGGACAAUGGGCGCAAGCCUGAUCCAGCAAUGCCGCGUGAGUGAAGAAGGCCUUCGGGUUGUAAAGCUCUUUUGUCAGGGAAGAAACGGUUCGGGUUAAUACCUUGGGCUAAUGACGGUACCUGAAGAAUAAGCACCGGCUAACUACGUGCCAGCAGCCGCGGUAAUACGUAGGGUGCAAGCGUUAAUCGGAAUUACUGGGCGUAAAGCGUGCGCAGGCGGUUGUGCAAGACAGAUGUGAAAUCCCCGGGCUCAACCUGGGAAUUGCAUUUGUGACUGUACGGCUAGAGUGUGUCAGAGGGGGGUAGAAUUCCACGUGUAGCAGUGAAAUGCGUAGAGAUGUGGAGGAAUACCGAUGGCGAAGGCAGCCCCCUGGGAUAACACUGACGCCCAUGCACGAAAGCGUGGGGAGCNNCAGGAUUAGAUACCCUGGUAGUCCACGCCCUAAACGAUGUCUACUAGUUGUCGGGUCUUUAUUGACUUGGUAACGCAGCUAACGCGUGAAGUAGACCGCCUGGGGAGUACGGUCGCAAGAUUAAAACUCAAAGGAAUUGACGGGGACCCGCACAAGCGGNGGNNGAUGUGGAUUANUUCGAUGCAACGCGAAAAACCUUACCUACCCUUGAC
rnacentral:rRNA from 1 species